AGCUCAGUUGGUUCAGAGCACCUGCCUUACAAGCAGGGGGUCGGGGGUUCGAAUCCCUCA
rnacentral:tRNA from 1 species